rnacentral:rRNA from 1 species
ACCGCAUGGUCCGGUGUGAAAAACUCCGGUGGUAUAAGAUGGACCCGCGUUGGAUUAGCUAGUUGGCAGGGUAACGGCCUACCAAGGCGACGAUCCAUAGCCGGCCUGAGAGGGUGAACGGCCACAUUGGGACUGAGACACGGCCCAGACUCCUACGGGAGGCAGCAGUGGGGAAUAUUGCACAAUGGGGGAAACCCUGAUGCAGCGACGCCGCGUGAAGGAAGAAGUAUCUCGGUAUGUAAACUUCUAUCAGCAGGGAAGAUAGUGACGGUACCUGACUAAGAAGCCCCGGCUAACUACGUGCCAGCAGCCGCGGUAAUACGUAGGGGGCAAGCGUUAUCCGGAUUUACUGGGUGUAAAGGGAGCGUAGACGGACUGGCAAGUCUGAUGUGAAAGGCGGGGGCUCAACCCCUGGACUGCAUUGGAAACUGUUAGUCUUGAGUGCCGGAGAGGUAAGCGGAAUUCCUAGUGUAGCGGUGAAAUGCGUAGAUAUUAGGAGGAACACCAGUGGCGAAGGCGGCUUACUGGACGGUAACUGACGUUGAGGCUCGAAAGCGUGGGGAGCAAACGGGAUUAGAUACCCUGGUAGUCCACGCCGUA